rnacentral:rRNA from 1 species
UACAGGGGGUGCUAGCGUUUGUUCGGAAUUACUGGGCGUAAAGGGCGCGUAGGCGGUUUCGCAAGUCAGGGGUGAAAUCCCGGAGCUUAACUCCGGAAUUGCUUUUGAUACUGUGAGGCUAGAGUGAGUUAGAGGAUGGCGGAAUUUCCUAGUGUAGUGGUGAAAUACGUAGAUAUUAGGAAGAACACCGGUGGCGAAGGCGGCCAUCUGGGACUCAACUGACGCUGAGGCGACGAAAGGCCGUGGGGAUCAAACAGG